rnacentral:lncRNA from 1 species
UAUAUUUCAACAUCGCUGAACAGCCUCAAUGACUGUGUAUCAGGCAUUUUAACCUGCUAAAGGCAAGAAGGGUUUGCCACAUAGUUUCAAAGGUCUUCCACUUACUACAACCCUCAGAGAGGGCAAAAUGAUCGAGCCCAUUGGGAAUCAGUAUGUUGUGGCCAGGCCAGUGUAUUCUGCAAAUGCUUUUGGGGAAGACCAUAAGAAGAAACAAAGACAUCAUAAGACGCUUCUGGAUCAUCUCAAAAAGUUGUGCCGCUGUUCUGCACAAAGGGCCAAGAAAAUUGCCUUCUCCUCGUUCCCCAUAGCAUCUUGGUUGCCAGCAUAUCGCAUAAAGGAAUGGCUCCUCAGUGACAUUGUUUCUGGAAUCAGCACAGGGCUGGUGGCUGUACUGCAAGGUUUAGCAUUUGCUCUGCUAGUCACCAUCCCCCCAGGCUACGGGCUAUAUGCAGCCUUUUUCCCAGUCAUCAUCUACUUUUUCUUGGGCACUUCCAGACACAUAUCUGUGGGUAAGUGAAUUACUGGGCUAAUUAAUGCUCAUUGCUUUUUCUUUAUGAAUGAUGUUAUCCAUGCAUUGUAUAUGCGUGCUAAGUUGAUUCAAUUGUGUCCGACUCUUUGCAAACCUAUGGACUGUAGCCUGCCAGGCUCCUCUGUCCAUGGGAUUCUCCAGGCAAGAAUACUGGAGUGGGUUGCCAUGCCCUCCUCCAGGGGAUCUUCCCAACCCAGGGAUCAAACCUACAGUCGCUUAUGUCUCCUGCACUGGCAGGCGGUCUCUUUACCACUGGCGCCACCUGGGAAGCCCCAGUCAUGAAUUGUAUCAAUUCCAUAUUGUGCAACAUCCAGAAGAGGAGUCAUAAUUUCUUGUAAUUACAAAUUAGAACUGGGGCUUGGGAAGGAGACCAGAACUCCAGAUGGUAAUCUUUCUACAUGCUACAUUUUGGUUGAAAGACAACUGUGCUAUGGGGAAGCAUAAUGACUACAAUUCACUCUGUCUUAUUAGGUCCAUUUCCAGUUCUGAGUAUGAUGGUGGGAGCAGUAGUUGUGAGACUAACCCCAACAGACAGUGCAGCUGAUUCAACAUUCACUAAUAGCUCAAUGACUAACGAUUCAUCAAUAGAUGAGCAGAAAGUGAUAGUGGCUGCAACAGUUACAAUUCUUUCUGGAAUCAUCCAGGUGAGCAUUUUGUCAUAAAAUCUACCCUCCCCAAUCUAUGUGUCCUGACUGGUACACAUCUUUCUGGUUUUUCUACUUCUUGCCACCCCUCCCAACUCUUCCUGUUGUGCCUCCUUCAGUGGCCCACUGGAAAUAAUUUAAGAAGAGUCACUCAUGGCAACCGUAAGAAGAGGGACAGAUCCACUUUGCAAAGAGGAGUGAAUGUGGGUCUGGAAAGUAGGAAAAAUGAGAACUUGGAGGCACAUGUGAUGACAAGUAAAUGCUGAAUUCAAUAAAAUACCUGGGAAUUAAUACA